AUUGAACGCUGGCGGCAAGCUUAACACAUGCAAGUCGAACGAUGUAGCAAUACGUAGUGGCGGACGGGUGCAUAACACGUGGGAAUCUGCCUUUAGGUACGGAAUAACUCAGGGAAACUUGAGCUAAUACCGUAUAAAAUCUCCGGAUCAAAGAUUUAUCGCCUAAAGAUGAGCCCGCGCAAGAUUAGCUAGUUGGUGGGGUAAUGGCCUACCAAGGCGACGAUCUUUAGCUGGUCUUAGAGGAUGAUCAGCCACACUGGGACUGAGACACGGCCCAGACUCCUACGGGAGGCAGCAGUGGGGAAUAUUGGACAAUGGGCGAAAGCCUGAUCCAGCUAUGCGCGUGAGUGAUGAAGGCCUUAGGGUUGUAAAGCUCUUUUAGAUGGGAAGAUAAUGACGGUACCAUCAGAAAAAGCCCCGGCUAACUUCGUGCCAGCCGCCGCAGUAAGAC
rnacentral:rRNA from 1 species